UACUGCUCAGUAACACGUGGACAACCUAACCUAUGGAGGGGGAUAACCCCGGGAAACUGGGGAUAAUACCCCAUAGACUAUGGAUGCUGGAAUGCUCUGUAGUUGAAAGGUCCGCCGCCAUAGGAUGGGUCUGCGGCCGAUUAGGUUGUUGUUGGGGUAACGGCCCAACAAGCCUGUAAUCGGUACGGGUUGCGGGAGCAAGAGCCCGGAGAUGGAUUCUGAGACACGAAUCCAGGCCCUACGGGGCGCAGCAGGCGCGAAAACUUUACAAUGCGGGAAACCGUGAUAAGGGAACUCCGAGUGCCCGUAAAAUCGGGCUGUCCAUCUGUUUAAAUAACAGGUGAAGAAAGGGCCGGGCAAGACCGGUSCCCAGCCGCUCGCGGUAAUACCGGCGGCUCGAGUGGUGGCCACUAUUACUGGGCUUAAAGCGUUCGUAGCUGGUUUGUUAAGUCUCUGGGGAAAUCUGCCGGCUUAACCGGCAGGCGUUUCAGGGAUACUGGCAGACUAGGGACCGGGAGAGGUGAGGGGUACUCCAGGGGUAGGAGUGAAAUUCUGUAAUCCUUGGGGGACCACCUGUGGCGAAGGCGCCUCACCAGAACGGCUCCGACAGUGAGGGACGAAAAGCUGGGGGAGCAAACCGGAUUAGAUACCCGGGUAGUCCCAGCUGUAAACGAUGCGCGUUAGGUGUAUCGGUGACCACGAGUCACCGAGGUGCCGAAGAGAAAUCGUGAAACGUGCCGCCUGGGAAGUACGGUCGCAAGGCUGAAACUUAAAGGAAUUGGCGGGGGAGCACCACAACAGGUGGAGCCUGCGGUUUAAUCAGACUCAACGCCGGAAAUCUCACCGGAUAAGACAGCUGGAUGAUAGUCGGGCUGAAGACUCUACUUGACUAGCUGAGAGGAGGUGCAUGGCCGUCGUCAGUUCGUACUGUGAAGCAUCCUGUUAAGUCAGGCAACGAGCGAGACCCA
rnacentral:rRNA from 1 species